rnacentral:tRNA from 1 species
GCCGCGAUGGUGGAAUUGGUAGACACGCUGGUCUUAGGAACCAGUGCCUUAUGGCGUGGGGGUUCGACUCCCUCUCGCGGCACAA